GGAGGGGUACCGAAGCGGUCACAACGGGGCGGUCUUGAAAACCGUUAGAGAGCAAUCUCACGCAGGUUCGAAUCCUGUCCCCUCCGCCA
rnacentral:tRNA from 1 species